AUAUCAAUAAGCGGAGGAAAAGAAACCAACAGGGAUUGCCUUAGUAACGGCGAGUGAAGUGGCAAUAGCUCAGAUUUGAAAUCCGGCCGUUAAGGCCCGAGUUGUAAUCUGGAGAGGAAUCUUUUGGCAACGAUGAAUCUGAGAUCCUUGGAAUAGGACACCAUAGAGGGUGAGAGUCCCGUUUAGAUUCAAUCUUAGCCUAUAUAAAGUUCCUUCAAUGAGUCGCGUAGUCCGGGACUGCUGCGCAAAUUGGGAGGUAAACUCCUCCUAAAGCUAAAUACUGGCCAGAGACCGAUAGCGCACAAGUA
rnacentral:rRNA from 1 species